rnacentral:rRNA from 1 species
AUGCAUAAGCUCGUAAAUGUUCAUUAUUUGGACAAGACGACAUUUAUGCUUGGAAAUGACGAUGAAGGGGAAGAGGCUAUGGUUUUUGACACAAGUCCAAGCUUCGAUGAUCUUGUGGUUAAAGUGAGAAGCGUGUUAAAUUGGAAUGACCCAAAUGCCGAGGUUAAGCUUAUUGGGAGGUAUGACGUUGGAUUGGGAGUAAAGUCCUGAUUAAAGAGUAUGUCCAUCACCUCCCAAUUUCAUUGGAAUGUGUACAAGGAAAAAGUAGAUGCAUCACAAGACAAGUCUCUUGAGAUCUUUGCCACAAAGGUUGAUCCUCCUACCGCCUUGCAAAUUGAUCUCAACCGCAAUGCAUCCUCCCCAAUACAUGAUGAUAGUGCCGAGGUGUAUAUCCCCAAUUGUUCUAGCCAACCACCAAGUAGCCAACCC